AUUGAACGCUGGCGGCAUGCUUUACACAUGCAAGUCGAACGGUAACAGGCCUUCGGGUGCUGACGAGUGGCGAACGGGUGAGUAAUGCAUCGGAACGUACCCAGAGGUGGGGGAUAACGCAGCGAAAGCUGUGCUAAUACCGCAUGUGAUCUGAGGAUGAAAGCGGGGGACCAGGCAGCAAUGUUUGGCCUCGCGCCUUUGGAGCGGCCGAUGUCAGAUUAGGUAGUUGGUGGGGUAAAGGCCUACCAAGCCGACGAUCUGUAGCUGGUCUGAGAGGACGACCAGCCACACUGGGACUGAGACACGGCCCAGACUCCUACGGGAGGCAGCAGUGGGGAAUUUUGGACAAUGGGCGCAAGCCUGAUCCAGCAAUGCCGCGUGCGGGAAGAAGGCCUUCGGGUUGUAAACCGCUUUUGUACGGAACGAAAAGGCUCUGGCUAAUACCUGGGGCUGAUGACGGUACCGUAAGAAUAAGCACCGGCUAACUACGUG
rnacentral:rRNA from 1 species